UAGUGAUUUUUAAUACAUCACAUAACAUUCUGUGUUAUUCUAACAAUAUAAGAGUUACCUACAUUAUACUGGUUACCUGCAUACUAAUGCAUGCAUUUUUUUAUCUUGUUGUAAUUGUAUUUAUAACCCCAUGCAUGCACUUUAAAAAAUAAUUUUUCAUCAUUUCAAAUGUAGAACAACAACCAGUGACUGGAACAACUGAGAGAGAUGGGAGGAAGAAGAAAGCUGGAAGAAGGCUUGACCCCAUGACCCACAGGAGCACAUGAUCCCUUUCAACAAUCUAUCCUCAUACAACAAAAAAUUCUUCUUAAGGAUCAACCAAGAUUAGGGCACCAAGUGCACUGCUACUGUGGGUACAAGCUACAAGACGGGAAGAGUCGUCCAAAGAAAGGUGAUGAGCAUCAGCUCCAGAGUCACCACCUUCCUCCAACGGCUCACCGAAUUUGAGUGGAUGACAUCAAACUAGUCCAGUAUGGACCACCUCACCAGAGCAUCUCUGGAUUGGAGGCUCCAUCUUGGCCUCUCUGUCCACCUUUCAGAAGAUGUGGAUCAGCAAGCAACAGUACUAUGGGUCCGGCCUCCACAAAUCCUUCUAAGCAGACUGUUCCUCCUUCCAAAGCCAACAACUUCAGCUUUGUGGUAACAACCACACCACAUUUUGUAUACAUUUGCAAAUACAGGUUAUUUAGUUUUCUUCAGGAUUUAAAAUGUUCAAUUCGUUUUGAGAGUCAAUUCAAAUGGUAACUACAUUGUUCAGACUUGUAUUUGCCUCUGAAUGCUGCCCAGUGUUUUGGCGCAUAUUUAGACAUCGUUUUAGUAUCACUUGUAUGUCAACUU